rnacentral:lncRNA from 1 species
UCACACUUAUGUUGUGGAUGGUGUUUUUGAUCAACUAAGAACUUGUAAUGUGUCUGUCUCUGUCUGCAGCUUCCUUGGCCGAGGUCUGCCAUCUCAGAUGAUGGGAAUGGGACGAGCAUCAAUGCCCCCUUGGUUACUGGGAGGGAGCCCACUGUGGCCCCUGCUCUUCCUCCUGGCCCCAUCCUGUCUUCGCUGAUUCCCCUCUUCCCCACCCAAAGAGGCCCACAUGGCUCCAGGUAGAUGUCCAACUGAGGGAGAACUUAAAAUGGAGGCCACCUGCAAAAACUACGGCAUCACCAUAAAAGAUAUGGCUCAACCCAUUCUUAUCCAUCCACCCAAAAAGAGGUCCAAGCAAGGGGGAAAGAUACAAAUAUUCCGCAGGACACGUUUGCUGACGUUAACACACCCAACAACCCUGAAACAGAAGGCCACGUUAUGGGGCGAGUCAGUGUUGAGAUUCAUCUCAACAUACUCUGUUUUCAUAGCUCUUACUGAUGUUCUACUAUCACACAUGCUUUAUAAAUAGUCGUUUUGAGUUUCUAUUGAGGAGUUGGAGACAUUCUUCUCCAUAUAGAUACAAUACGUUCUAUUUAAUUUACUGAUUUUAUCUUACAGCAAGUCAUAACCGGCAUGAUCCUGCUUCUGCCUUAGCUCUCCUUCAUGACUGGAAUCCCUGACCAAAUGAGAACGGACUUCCGAGCCAUGACGGUAAAAUCAUUGUGUCAGCAAUGCAUUCUAUUCCCUGGGGGGUUUUCUGUGACAUUUACAUUCUGUGACAUCCACAGUCCAUGAAGGUAGCACAGUGAUUUUGAUAACGCAGCAUUUGAUAACACAUUAGCUGGUUACUAUUGUUUUCUUUCAAAUGUUGUGCUUACUUGAGUUUUCCUGCCUCAAUUAAAUAAAUUGAAUAAUCCAAAAAUUGUACACCAUAAACCCAGCUGGCAAUCCAGACAGGCUGAAUGUAGUGCUCCAAGUAUUGGGGAUGGGGAAACAAAUACUAUUUGAACCCAGACACGUCAGAGAUUAAAUGGGAAGGGCAAAGUCAGAGUAAUUAUAUUGUUAUAGAAUGAAAGUGACGGUUUAACCGUCCCAGGACCUGACAAUGCACAUCAAUGUGAGUGAGUAGUGAGCAGCACACCCACUCCCUGAAGCAGCUCCUGAAGAACAUCAACCCAGAGGCCCAGAUGGAGUUGGCACACUGGGGGCUGGAGAUCAGCCAAGACAUCCUGGUGGUGAGGAUACACACAGCACAGUUAAAAAAAUCAACAUUUGACGGAAAUUUGUUGUGUAGCUGAAGUCACACAUAAAAUGAACAGUCAUUUAUCUGGUGGUGAGGCUCCACACAGAUCAUUAGACAUGCUCACUCACACAUUACUCUUAAAAAAUGUUUGGAUGCUGGAUCGUCGUUUGUGAAAUCCAUCAAGUGAAAUGGACAGCAAUAGGUCAAUCAUGUGUUAAAUUAAAUGCACAAUUAAUUAGAGCCCGACUGAUAUUAUCUGCAGAUGUUAGCCUUUCACAGAAACAUUUGUAUCAGUCUUUAUUCCACCAUUUAAAGCACCGAUAUUGUGUACAUAGAAUUAACAAAUACGUGUGCUCAUUUGCAGUUAUUUUUUAUAAUGUUUCAAUGGUUGCCUGAAGAGGGCGCUCUGAGCUGCUCAUUGAACAUCAUUCAGCCUUUCACUCAAUCUGUCCAAUUUAUUACCUUUUCGCCUCUAAAAUGUAAAUAAAACACUAUAAAGAGUUUAUAUAAUGUGUCAUUACAUACAUAUUUGACGGUUUGUGUCGAAUUUGAAUCGGGUUUUAGGGCGUUGCUAAAGUGAUCUUCAGAAGUAAACAGAGGCUUUGAGAGUCAUGAUCGCAUGCAAUGAUGACGCAAAAAAAGACUAGGUAUCCCCCCUUACCCCGUCACUGUCCAUUUAUUGUUUUUAACUAUGAGAAGUGCUACACCUGGUGGACAGAUAUUGUAAGACAGAAAUAGUUUCUUUAUGCGUGCUGUACGUUACGACAUGACACGUCACGAUGUAACGGAGGGUCAGUUUUUUCAACGUUUCUCCAAAACUAUAGAGCCAUUACCAUGUCGAUCAACGCUUGAAUAGAAACGUAGUUCACACCCCAGAUUUUGAAGUCAACACAGUCCCAUUAAUUUUUCUUUGCAGCCUCGUUUGAAUGUCGCGGUUGCGCACAUUUGUACGGAAUGGGGUGAGUUAACGUUAGCUAACCAGCAAUGUAAUUAAGCUCUAUCAUGCCAGAAAGGUAGUUAGCCUAGCUAGCUAGCAAGCAAUCUGUGCUACAUAUGUGCAAACACUGGACUGGCGCCAAAGUCAACACUGACUCAUCCUUCAUACAAAAAUAACACUGUUACUGUCUAGGGCUAUUAUGUUAGUGGGCUUAGUUAGUUGGCACAGUGUUCAUGUUGUCAUGCUGAGUCACGUGGUUGCUAAGCUUAUCGUCAAGCAAUCCCUCAAAAUCAGGGUAUGAAUCGAGAAACCAGCCUAUUUUCCAUGAAAGUACGUGAUGUAACAAUUUCAAAGCUAUGCGAUAUUACAGAGAACAAGUUAAUUGUCUCAAAUCUCUGAAAAUAUUUACUUUUUACUUGUUGACGAAAUUCAUGCUAAUGUUGUUUUUUUGAGCUGGCACACAAUUGACUCCUCCCAUACAUUCCCAUGAAGGACAGCUCUUCUUGUCCUAGAAUCGCCCAGAAUGCACCAUGCGGUCCAUUGACAAUGCAUGGGAACAUACACAAUGGGAACGAUUCCAAUGGAGUUUACAAUCUCCUGAAAAUUAUCUAUGAACAAGCUGUCAUUGCACGGUUGUCAUAAAUUGUUUCUUUACAUGACAUUUGACUGUUGUAAAGCACUGUAGUGUAGUCUUAAAAUCUGGGGAGGGGCCAGCUGAGUGUGUUAAACGCUCUACAGCAAAGCUUUCUCAGUGUCCAACAAGCUUUCUCUGCCCUUAACCUUGAACACCUCCAAAACAAAGGUCAUAUGGUUUGGUAAGAAGAAUCUCCCCACAGGUGUGAUUACUACCACUGAGGGUAUAGAGCUUGAGGUAGUCACCUCAUACAAGUACUUGGGAGUAUGGCUAGACGGUACACUGUCCUUCUCUCAGCACAUAUCAAAGCUGCAGGCUAAAGUUAAAUCUAGACUUGGUUUCCUCUAUCGUAAUCGCUCCUCUUUCACCCCAGCUGCCAAACUAACACUGAUUCAGAUGACCAUCCUACCCAUGCUAGAUUACGGAGAAGUAAUUUAUAGAUCAGCGGGUAAGAGUGCUCUCGAGCGGCUAGAUGUUCUUUACCAUUCGGCCAUCACUGCACUCUACAAUCGUCUGUAAACUGCUAAUCUCUGUAUACCCGUCGCAAGACCCACUGGUGGAUGCUUAUUUAUUAAACCCUCCUAGGCCUCAUUCCCCCCUAUCUGAGAUGUCUACUGCAGCCCUUAUCCUCCACAUACAACACCCGUUCUGCCAGUCAUAUUCUGUUAAAGUUCCCCAAGGCACACACAUCCCUGACAGUUGUGGUUACUUCAUGUGAUGUAUUGUUGU